AUUAACCGAAAAAGUCGGUGCAGUUUGAAUUGAAGGACCGUCUCUGGUUCCGAUGCUAAUUGCCAGUUUUCACGAAUGCUAUUGAGCUAUUCAAUUCGCCUAUGGAGUUUCUGACACCUGAGUUGCUUGGAGAAUGGGUUAUUUGAAACGCAGUGAUUGAUUUUCUUUAACGUGGUUUGAACAUAUUAUUAAAUGGCUAGGAGCCUUGGCUGGCAGCUGGGUCAUGAGAGACGUAUGCGGUGUGUCGGUGUACAGAGGUCGUGUCUCUAUCUCAGACGCAUGGUUUCAAGGAAAUCAUCCUGCUGCUCUGACUCCUGUAGCUACGAGGCCGCAACUUGCAACAAGGAGGUCUAAUUUCUGGCCUUUUUCUCUUUUUCACAUUCAGCUGCUGUUUGAUUUGAACAUUGUAACUUAAAUAUUUAAUAAAUGACUUUUGUUAUGUUACAUAAUCAGCGUAACAUAUAUAAUUAUGUAAUAAUCUUAGAUGAAAAUUUAAUGAUUGUAAAAAUAAUAUGAUUUUAAUAUCUUAUAUUUUCAUAAUCUACAUACAUGAUUAUGUAACGUAACAACCUCAUUAAUAAAUAUUAUUUGUUAUGGUUUAGAAGUUAAAGUCAUCCCAACUAAUAAAAUAUUUGUAAUUUAACAAUAAGAGUGCUAUUUAGUGAUUUUGAAGAAUUAAUUUGAAUCUCAAUGAUAUCUACGUAAAUUACCUGAAAAAAUUAUAGUUUGCAAACUACUUUAAAAAAAUGGCCACAAUGAGCUUAAAAUUAAAAUAAUAAUAAUAAUAAUAAUAAUAAUUAUUAUUAUUAUUAUUAUUAUUAUUAUUAUUAUUAUUAUUAUUACUACUACUAUUAUUUUAAAGGUUAAAUAAAAAGAGUAGAAUUUGAGAAUUUGAGACUUUAAAUGUAUCCAAAUGAACAAUUAAAGAAGAACUUCCAAAUUGACCUAAAAAUUUUCUAAGCUAAACCCUUCUUAAUUUAAGUAUCUGGGUCUGUCACUAAAAUAAAUUAAAUUUAUCUCACACUUGUAUAAUGAAAAAUGUAUAAUAUCUUUAUUAUUUUUAUCAAAAUUAUUAUUUAAAAAUCAUAAUUAUUGUACACUACCGGUACUUAUUUAUAACUAACAAAUUUUAUUUUAUUUUUUGGUUUCACCGCAACUUAAAAACGUCAAUAUUAGCCAGGGACAUAAUUUUCAUAUUUAAUUCCGAACAUGCCCAUUCUUACGUUUCUCAUUUCACUGUCUAAAUUGUAAACUACCAAAUGUGGUUCCUCAUCUCGUGCAGUCAUGCGUAUGCGGUGGGUGCAGGGUGCUCUCAACUUUUGCAUACUUGUCCCUCCCGCUCGAGAGAGAAAAAAAAUGGGAGUGGAGUCUGGAUGGAGAUCAGAUCACCCAAAAGAAUAACCGAAGUCGUAUUUUCUAUCCUAUUCUUUUUCCCUUUAAUUAAUAUUUUUUGGUUGUUCUUCGCUACUUGGGAUUUGAAUUUGAUGGCCAUGGAGAGUGGGUGGGUUUUGAAAAAUAUAAACUCACAUCAUAACCCAUUGAAAAAGAAAAAAAGAAAUGACUCACAUAUGUCGUCAGCAAUCAGCAUCAAGCCAAGAAAAGAACUGACAACCUCAACACGUGAGUCAGUCCUUGCAUGCAUUCAUGU
rnacentral:lncRNA from 1 species